rnacentral:rRNA from 1 species
AUACGAAAGGUGCAAGCGUUAAUCGGAAUUACUGGGCGUAAAGCGCGCGUAGGCGGAUGAUUAAGUCGGAUGUGAAAGCCCAGGGCUCAACCUUGGAACUGCAUCCGAUACUGGUUAUCUAGAGUACAGUAGAGGAGGGUAGAAUUUCUUGUGUAGCAGUGAAAUGCGUAGAUAUAAGAAGGAAUACCAGUGGCGAAGGCGGCCCUCUGGACUGAUACUGACGCUGAGGUGCGAAAGCGUGGGGAGCAAACGGGAUUAGAUACCCCAGUAGUCC